rnacentral:rRNA from 1 species
GAUGAACGCUGGCGGCGUGCCUAAUACAUGCAAGUCGAGCGAACGGACGAGAAGCUUGCUUCUCUGAUGUUAGCGGCGGACGGGUGAGUAACACGUGGAUAACCUACCUAUAAGACUGGGAUAACUUCGGGAAACCGGAGCCAAUACCGGAUAAUAUUUUGAACCGCAUGGUUCAAAAGUGAAAGACGGUCUUGCUGUCACUUAUAGAUGGAUCCGCGCUGCAUUAGCUAGUUGGUAAGGUAACGGCUUACCAAGGCAACGAUGCAUAGCCGACCUGAGAGGGUGAUCGGCCACACUGGAACUGAGACACGGUCCAGACUCCUACUGGAGGCAGCAGUAGGGAAUCUUCCGCAAUGGGCGAAAGCCUGACGGAGCAACGCCGCGUGAGUGAUGAAGGUCUUCGGAUCGUAAAACUCUGUUAUUAGGGAAGAACAUAUGUGUAAGUAACUGUGCACAUCUUGACGGUACCUAAUCAGAAAGCCACGGCUAACUACGUG